GUGCCAGCAGCCGCGGUAAUACGGAGGAUCCGAGCGUUAUCCGGAUUUAUUGGGUUUAAAGGGAGCGUAGGUGGAUUGUUAAGUCAGUUGUGAAAGUUUGCGGCUCAACCGUAAAAUUGCAGUUGAAACUGGCAGUCUUGAGUACAGUAGAGGUGGACGGAUUUCGUGGUGUAGCGGUGAAAUGCUUAGAUAUCACGAGGAACUCCGUUUGCGAAGGCAGCUCACUAGACUGCAACUGACACUGAUGCUCGAAAGUGUGGGUAUCAAACAGGAUUAGAUACCCUGGUAGUCCACACAGUAAACGAUGAAUACUCGCUGUUUGCAAGCGGCCAAGCGAAAGCAUUAAGUAUUCCACCUGGGGAGUACGCCGGCAACGGUGAAACUCAAAGGAAUUGACGGGGGCCCGCACAAGCGGAGGAACAUGUGGUUUAAUUCGAUGAUACGCGAGGAACCUUACCCGGGCUUAAAUUGAAGGUGCUGCAUGGUUGUCGUCAGCUCGUGCCGUGAGGUGUCGGCUUAAGUGCCAUAACGAGCGCAACCCUUAUCUUUAGUUACGACUCUAGAGAGACUGCCGUCGUAAGAUGGAGGAAGGUGGGGAUGACGUCAAAUCAGCACGGCCCUUACGUCCGGGGCUACACACGUGUUACAAUGGGGGGUACAGAAGGCAGCUACCUGGCGACAGGAUGCUAAUCCCAAAAACCUCUCUCAGUUCGGAUCGAAGUCUGCAACCCGACUUCGUGAAGCUGGAUUCGCUAGUAAUCGCGCAUCAGCAUGGCGCGGUGAAUA
rnacentral:rRNA from 1 species